UACGUAGGGGGCAAGCGUUGUCCGGAUUUAUUGGGCGUAAAGAGCGUGUAGGCGGCCGCACAGGUCCGUUGUGAAAACUGGAGGCUUAACCUUCAGACGUCGAUGGAAACCGUGCGGCUAGAGUCCGGAAGAGGAGAAUGGAAUUCCCAGUGUAGCGGUGAAAUGCGUAGAUAUUGGGAAGAACACCGGUGGCGAAGGCGGGUCUCUGGGCCGAUACUGACGCUGAGGAGCGAAAGCGUGGGGAGCGAACAGG
rnacentral:rRNA from 1 species